AACGUUGGUGGUGGCUCCUAUCACAAUAGGGUGGGUGGCCUGGUUGGCACAUGAGAGGCAGCCAUUGGGCAGCCAUCAGGCAGCUGUACAGCAGCCACAUAUGGAGAGGGGAAAAUGACCAGACCAUGAUGUUCAGCAAAGUUCGAGCAAUAAUUGUGUGACAGAGUACUGUGGCGGGAAGCUGGAGGAGAUCUUUGGAUUUGGCCCUUUGACUCCACUGGAAGUUUAAUCAUGCUGGACAUUCUAGAUCACCAACAAGUGAAGCAGCUCUUUCAGCCCUGCAUUUUGAUGACAUGGAACAGAGGAUACCUGUGAGUGAAUUUUUAAAAUGAGAAAUAGGGAAGACCCCGUGGGACUCAGCCAUUUCUGUAACUGUAUUCUUUUUGAAGCACCUUUCUCCAGAAUAAAAUGUUCGUUGCUUUGAACUUUAAAAUAAUAACUUGAGUAGUUUUAAUGGAAAAAAGACUGCUUGCUAAUUUGAGAUCACACGCAAUAUUAAAUAUUGGAUAGUUU